rnacentral:rRNA from 1 species
UACAGAGGGUGCUAGCGUUGUUCGGAAUCAUUGGGCGUAAAGGGCGUGUAGGCGGUUUGUUAAGUCAUGUGUGAAAUCCCUCGGCUCAACCGGGGAACGACGCAUGAAACUGGCAAGCUAGAGUACCAAAGAGGGGGGUGGAAUUCCCGGUGUAGCGGUGAAAUGCGUAGAGAUCGGGAGGAACACCGGUGGCGAAGGCGGGUCUCUGGGCAUCUCCUGACGCUGAGGCGCGAAAGCGUGGGGAGCAAACGGG